rnacentral:rRNA from 1 species
UACGUAGGGUGCAGGCGUUAAUCGGAAUUACUGGGCGUAAAGCGUGCGCAGGCGGCUUUGCAAGACAGAUGUGAAAUCCCCGGGCUCAACCUGGGAACUGCAUUUGUGACUGCAAGGCUAGAGUACGGUAGAGGGGGAUGGAAUUCCGCGUGUAGCAGUGAAAUGCGUAGAUAUGCGGAGGAACACCGAUGGCGAAGGCAAUCCCCUGGACCUGUACUGACGCUGAGACGCGAAAGCGUGGGGAGCGAACAGG